rnacentral:rRNA from 1 species
AUUGAACGCUGGCGGCAUGCUUUACACAUGCAAGUCGAACGGUAACAGGUUAAGCUGACGAGUGGCGAACGGGUGAGUAAUGCAUCGGAACGUGCCCGGUCGUGGGGGAUAACACUUCGAAAGAAGUGCUAAUACCGCAUACGAUCUGAGGAUGAAAGCGGGGGACCGUAAGGCCUCGCGCGAUCGGAGCGGCCGAUGUCGGAUUAGGUAGUUGGUGGGGUAAAGGCCUACCAAGCCGACGAACUGUAGCUGGUCUGAGAGGACGACCAGCCACACUGGGACUGAGACACGGCCCAGACUCCUACGGGAGGCAGCAGUGGGGAAUUUCGGACAAUGGGCGCAAGCCUGAUCCAGCAAUGCCGCGUGCAGGAAGAAGGCCUUCGGGUUGUAAACUGCUUUUGUACGGAGCGAAAAGGCUCUCUCUAAUACAGGGGGUUGAUGACGGUACCGUAAGAAUAAGCACCGGCUAACUACGUGCCAGCCGCCGCCGUAAGAC